UACAGAGGUCCCAAGCGUUGUUCGGAUUCACUGGGCGUAAAGGGUGCGUAGGCGGUCGGGUAAGUCCGGCGUGAAAUCUCCAAGCCUAACUUGGAAACUGCGUUGGAUACUAUCCGGCUCGAGGAAUGGAGGGGAGACUGGAAUACUUGGUGUAGCAGUGAAAUGCGUAGAUAUCAAGUGGAACACCAGUGGCGAAGGCGAGUCUCUGGACAUUUCCUGACGCUGAGGCACGAAAGCCAGGGGAGCAAACGGG
rnacentral:rRNA from 1 species